rnacentral:rRNA from 1 species
CGGGACGGGGUGGAGUAAUGUCUGGGAAACGUGCCUGAUGGAGGGGGAUAACUACUGGAAACGGUAGCUAAUACCGCAUAACGUCGCAAGACCAAGAGGGGACCGUUCGGGCCUCUUGCCAUCGGAUGUGCCCAGAUGGGAUUAGCUAGUAGGUGGGGUAACGGCUCACCUAGGCGACGAUCCCUAGCUGGUCUGAGAGGAUGACCAGCCACACUGGAACUGAGACACGGUCCAG